CUGCCCCGGGCGUCCCGGGCGCUGGGCGGGAGAGGUGGGCACGCCUGUCCGCAGGGCGCUGGUGCUCGUGCAGGCAGGGCCCCGUGUCCCCGGCUCGGUCCCCCCUCGGAGACCGGCCCCGCUGACCAGUCCAGAGCAGUGGCUCGCAGGCCCCGGACACACCUCCCAGAAGGACCGAGGAGCAGUUCGCAGGGGCGGUCGGGGUGCGCCCCGGGACAGCAGGCCUGUCCUGGGGCGGCGGCUAGAGCAGAGAAUCCAGCGCUUCUGCAGGGACCCAGCCUCAGCUGUUAGAGGCCUGGGCUCAGUGGAGGGGCGCUCGCCUGGCACCUGUGCGGCCCUGGAUCUGAUCCUCAGCAAUGCAUACAACUACAUAAAAUAAAGGUCAUCAACUAAAAAAUAUAUUCAAAAAAAUGUCUUUUACAGGGAUCUGGAGAGUUUUUACAGUUAUCACCAACACGUUUCCUGUAACACACAGUUUCUUGCCCGUCCCGGUGUAAGAGACUUGGGUUCCUCCAAGUACCCUCCACUGCGGACAGCCCGCCUGUAGGCGGCCGGGAUAGGCUGCAAAACGUCCACAGGGACCACGUUAAAUGAACAAAGACUGAACUGUCACAGAUACUUUUUUAUAAAAGGCCUCCGUGGACUAUUGCUUCAGUCUGACUGAUAAACAAGUUCCUAUGAUGAGCUCACAGAUUCUUGCACAGCCUCACUAUUUGAAGAAAGUUCAUUCUGAAAAUCUGAAGCAGUUAAUGGGUAAAUAUGAUCAGGUAUCUCCACCAAGUUCUCAGCCUGAGAAGGGUAAGCUUUUGUUCACCUCUUCAUCCCCAUCUGUGCCCUCUGCAGUGUUUGGGGACCAGCUUCUUUCACUUAGUAUAGUGUCCUCAUGUUCCUCUACGACAUACUAUGUAUCAGUACUGCAUUCCUUUUUAUCGUUGAAUAAUAUUCCAUUGUAUGAAUGUACCACAUUUUGUUUUAGUUGAUGGAAGUUGGGAUUGUUCCCACUUUGUAUCACUAAGAGUAUUUAUUCCAUUGUACAGUCGUAACACCAUUUAGCUUAUCCAUUCACCUAUUAAUGACAUUUUCUUUCUUUCUGGAGCUGUUACAAAUGAAAUUACUGUAAACAUUGAUAUCCAAGCCUUUGUGUAGACAUAGAUCUCCUUUUCUUUGGAGUAAAUAUCUAGGAGUGAUAUAAAAUGGAUCAUUUGGUAAAUGUGUGUGUGACUUCUUAAGAAACUGCCUGUGAUGGUUUGGAUGUGAGGUGUCCCCCCAAAGCUCAUGUGUGAGACAAUGCAAAGAGGUUUAGAGUAUCAUGAGAGUCUUACCUAGUCAGUGAACUACUCCCUGAUGGGAUGAGCUGUGUGGUAGGGUGUGGCUGGCGAAGGUAGGAGAUGGGAGGUGGGCGUGCCCUUGGGGUAUAUUUUUGCACCUGGUGAGUGGAGUCUCUGCUUCUUGACAUAAUUCCUGAGCCCCUUCCUCCGCCACACUCUUCCAGCCUCACCUUGUGCCCUGAGGAAGGAGCCAGCUGUCUGUGGACUGAGACCUCUGAAAACGUGAGCCCCCAAUUACACUUUUUCUCCUUAAAAUUGCUCUUGCCAGGUCUUUUGGUCACAGCAACAAAAAAGCUGACUGAAGCUCUGCCAGACUAGUGAGUUGCGGUAGCCACGCCCGUGGUCCCAAUGGACCAGGCUGAAGCAGGAGGAUCACAAGUUCAAGGCCGGCCUGGGCAACUUAAUCCUGUCUCGAAAUAUAAAAUAAAAAGGACUUGGGGGGCUGGGGCUGGGGCUCA
ensembl:lncRNA